rnacentral:rRNA from 1 species
UACGUAGGGGGCGAGCGUUGUCCGAAGUUACUGGGCGUAAAGCGCGCGUAGGCGGGUUGGCAAGUCUGCUGUGAAAGCCCGGAGCUUAACUCCGGAGGGUCGGUGGAUACUGCCAAUCUUGAAGGGACUAGGGGGAGAUGGAAUUACCGGUGUAGCGGUGAAAUGCGUAGAGAUCGGUAGGAACGCCAGUGGCGAAGGCGGCUCACUGGCCCGGUACUGACGCUGAGGUGCGAAAGCGUGGGGAGCAAACAGG